UACGGAGGAUGCAAGCGUUAUCCGGAAUUAUUGGGCGUAAAGCGUCCGCAGGUGGUUUAUCAAGUCUGCUGUCAAAGCGCGAGGCUUAACUUCGUAAAGGCAGUGGAAACUGAUAGACUGGAGUGCGGUAGGGGCAGAGGGAAUUCCCGGUGUAGAGGUGAAAUGCGUAGAGAUUGGGAAGAACACCGGUGGCGAAAGCGCUCUGCUGGGCCGCAACUGACACUAAUGGACGAAAGCUAGGGGAGCGAAUGGG
rnacentral:rRNA from 1 species